ACCUACAAGCGGUGGAUCACUCGAA
rnacentral:rRNA from 1 species